GUGGGGAAUCUUGCGCAAUGGGCGAAAGCCUGACGCAGCCAUGCCGCGUGAAUGAUGAAGGUCUUAGGAUUGUAAAAUUCUUUCACCGGGGACGAUAAUGACGGUACCCGGAGAAGAAGCCCCGGCUAACUUCGUGCCAGCAGCCGCGGUAAUACGAAGGGGGCUAGCGUUGCUCGGAAUUACUGGGCGUAAAGGGCGCGUAGGCGGAUCGUUAAGUCAGGGGUGAAAUCCCAGAGCUCAACUCUGGAACUGCCCUUGAUACUGGCGAUCUUGAGUGUGAGAGAGGUAUGUGGAACUCCGAGUGUAGAGGUGAAAUUCGUAGAUAUUCGGAAGAACACCAGUGGCGAAGGCGACUCACUGGCUCAUUACUGACGCUGAGGCUCGAAAGCGUGGGGAGCAAACAGGAUUAGAAACCCGGGUAGUCC
rnacentral:rRNA from 1 species